UGUCACAGACAUUUCUGAAUGAAGGAAGGUGUCACUUCUGUUUCCCAAGUAAAUGCUGUUGAUUCUUUUCAUAGACUUUGUGUGCUUAAAAUCAGAGUUUUUCCAUAGUCGGAUCACCAGUGUGGGGUCUCAGAAAUACUUGACAUUCUGAAGUGUUCGCGUGGAAGUUAAAGACCCGAAGCAUAUUCUAGAGAACAGGAACUGAGGCAGGACAGAAAUGAUUAGAUACAGCCCAACACGAGUUCACUGUCAAGUUCUGCUCCUGUCCCGGCUGUGUGAUCUUAGAAGGGCCACUGGACUUCUUUGUACCUCAGUUUCCUUGAAUCUAAAAUGAGGAAACUAAUUUUACUUCAGGGGGAGCCCCGUGAGGAUGGAUGGAAAGUGCCUGGUAUAUAGGAAGUGCUCAGAUAUCCAGGUAGGACGUCUGUGGGGAAACAAACAGUGAUGGCCCUGAUCAUCUGAGUGCCUCCCUCCAGCCAGAAGACCUGUGCACCAACUCUGUUAUUCACCACAUCUCCAAGGGAGGUUCCCAGCACUGGCCCACACCUUUCCCGGGCAGCUGGUGCCCAGACUUGGACACACUGUCCCUCGUCCUGUAAGGGUAUGCUCUCUCUGACCCUGUAACAGAGGGGAACAGUGGAGGUUGGGUCCAAUCACCUGGGGCCAAUGAUUUAAUUACUCUGUUGGAAUGCAAUUCCACGGUAUGUUUAACUGUGUCCCUGUCCAGAUCACCUCUGCACUGGGCAUUCGUGCAGCUUGCUGAGCCUUCUGCCCGUGAGUUCCAGCCUGUACCAAGUGAUGCUACCGGGCAUUUGCCAGAACCCUUUACUCAAUACCAUCUUCUCCAAGAGCUUGCCAGAGGCCACUGUUUGAAAAUCUGGGCUACACAGAUGAGCUCUGAGGCACACCUGUUCAACAGCUCUCACUACUCCAGUCUCCUGUGGACAUCACGCCUCUCGUUUUCUGCCACAUGUCCUAUCUGUAAAAACUGCUGAACACGCUCUAUUUCUACUCCCAAUUCCCUGGUGUGGGUUUCUCUCCAUACUGAGCAAUUCUCCGACACCAGCUGGGUGUCCUAAACUUCAACUCAAUUCUGACACCUUCUCCCUGGCAAUGUCAUCCCAUGCUUCAGGCAAUGCAUUGUGCGUUUUGUUUAUAUACAGGCAUGUUGACGGACUUUUACUCUCAACGCAAAUGAGACAGGAAACAUCACUCAGCGGACAGGUGUCAUCAUUGCUCUUGGAAAAUGAAAAGUGCCAAACUCUGCAUUGAUGCAACUGGAAGGCAAGUGAAGCAAGGUCUUAGACCCAUUUGCUGACAAAAGUUCCAGAAAACUGAUGGACACAGUCAUUCUUUAUUUGCAUGACAGAAAGAAUACCUUUUCUGCAGUAACUCCUUCCCUGGCUGGACUCUGGGGCUCAAAUUCCCUCCCAUUUAGAGCUGCCCAGUGGCUUUCCUGGGAUAUAUCUGUGUCUGGAGUGGUGGAGCGGAUCAGGGCUUUCUUCCCUAAGCCCCAGCUUUGCAUGCCCAAAGCCACAGACUUCUUUUCGGUAAGACCAAUGAGCAGGAAUUCCUAGGGCCCUGAGAAGUACUUCUUUUUCCAGUUCUAACUACUGGUGGAUUUGGGCUGGCUCUCUGGGUCAUGCAUUAGCCAAAAGAGAGAGACAGAGACAGAGACAGAGACAGAGACAAUCCAUCCCUUUGGGGAGUCCUGAACACCCGCCCGAUUAGCUGUUUGCUGACAGUAGAUCCUUCAGAGGAACCAUUCAGAUCUGAGAGAUGCCCAGCUUCCCCGUGUCCCCAUGCCACGGCCCACCUAGAAAGCCAGGUCUGACAGGUGAGGGAAUCAAUGACACUCCAGCUGCCUCCGAGGUAAUCCUCGAGGAGAGACUUGCCAGGUGGACACUGAUAAAGAAGACAGAUGACUGAGUGCCUGACUCCACAGUCAUCAAUAAACGCUGACAGUUGGUGCAGAAGAACCAAGUUGCCAGAGAAAGAGGAGCUGCAGGGGGAGGUCUGCAGCUAACUGUGCAGGCACAGGCCAAUCACUUGCGUGUUCACCUGGUGUCACUGACGUCACGCGUCCUCAGAAGGAGGGCAUGGCGUCCCCAUGCCUCCAAUACUGACCGGGAAGUCAAAACUAAGCAAAAUAAAACUUGCUUCAUAUUUUUAGCUCCCAAAGCCACUGAAGGCUGGAACAUUGAAAUGACUCCAGUUUAUACCCCUUGGCAAAAAGUGUGCUGCAUAUUUUAGAAAAUCCCUUAUUGUUUGCAGAAAUUGUGAAAGAACACCCAAUUUGUGGCUAUUUCUAAAUGUGCUCCUAUGCCAUAGUUAGAGGCAUCCUCCGGAGUAAGCUGCCUGAUGCCAAUCAGGAGUAGACCUGAAGCAUUUUUCUUAAUUUUAGCAAUAACUGAUACAAAAGCUCAAACCACACUCUCAACAUUUUAUCAUCAGUUGGUAAAGCAUCCACAAGACAAGGCAUUCUUGUUAUCUCUUCUCCCACUCACGGUUGUCGGUUCCCCGCCUCCUGGCCUGUGGGGAAACGUAUGGCAGGAGGAAAGUGAGGGGCCUCGCUGAAUGUGCUUCCCAGGCUGCGGUGUGAAUCGAACAAGGUGACAGAUUCACACUGGAGGCCAUAAGCUCCAGUGUCCUACCCAUGCUGUUCGUUAGCAGUAGGAGUGCUUUUUCUAUCAUGCCAAAACUGGAAUGUCUUUCCUGAGCUCCCCAGCCUGGGUGAACCUAUUCUAGAAUGUUCUGUGUGCCCCUCCAUCAGAGCACUGUUCUCACUGCAUUAUCAUUGUCCACCCCCACCCCCACCCCGAAGGAAAACAACAUAACUUACAGAUCCUUUGAGCCACAGUGCCAGGAAAGGGUGGGUGUUUUAAGUGCUUCAGAUAAAGACAGACUGGAGGAAUGAGCAAAGGAAACAUACAAAUGUGAAGAGACCCUCCUGUUUCCUAGUCCAGGGGGGCAAGCGGGCAGACUGUUGUUCUCAUGAGACUUGGUCAGUGGAGAUUCAGCUGUCCUUCCCUGCGGAAGGCCCUCCCAUAGCAACAUCACUGUGGAAAAGGGACUUGCUCGUUCCUGCAGAUUCCCUCACACGCACAGCACAGGGGAGGAUUACUCUCUCGGGGUAUCCCUUACUGCUUUAGUCAAUCCGGGUGCUCUGUUUGAAAUCCAGCACAUGAGAAGGUCUGGGUAAAGUUGCUGGGAUGGAAGAAAACCUUGGUAUUGACUUAAGAUGGUGGUGUGCCAGAGCCAGCUCAUACUGGAGGGAGAGUGAGACAGAGAGAGACACAGACAGAGAGAAUUGCUAAAUUCCCAGGAAUUUCACUAACCAGUUGAUAUCAUGCUGCUAUCUUGACAUUGGCAAUGGUUGGCAGUAAUCACCCCCUGAAAAUUGGUCACUGCUGCAACUGAGACCUCUUCUUUCCUUCCAGGGUGCUUGUUGUUAAAUAUUUACCAACACACCCCUAACUUAAGGUUGCAUUCAAGUGUGGAAUUCACGAUUUUGCUGGUGCUUUCUGAAUUAUAUUCUUUUCUCCUCCUCCCAAGGUGCCUUUGAAUUCCACCCCAUCUGCUCUUUGUGUGUACUUCUGGAGAAAUCCUAGUGUUAGGUUCACAGAAGUCAAAGCAAUAGACUGUUUGUUUGUACAAA